rnacentral:rRNA from 1 species
UUGAACGCUGGCGGCGUGCCUAACACAUGCAAGUCGAACGAAGCUUGACGGAUGAUUUCUUCGGAAUGAAACCUGAUAUGACUUAGUGGCGGACGGGUGAGUAACACGUGAGCAACCUGCCUUUCAGAGGGGGAUAACGGCUGGAAACGGUCGCUAAUACCGCAUGAUGUGUUCGGAUGGCAUCAUCUGAACAUCAAAGAUUUAUCGCUGAAAGAUGGGCUCGCGUCUGAUUAGAUAGUUGGUGGGGUAACGGCCUACCAAGUCGACGAUCAGUAGCCGGACUGAGAGGUUGAACGGCCACAUUGGGACUGAGAUACGGCCCAGACUCCUACGGGAGGCAGCAGUGGGGAAUAUUGCACAAUGGGGGAAACCCUGAUGCAGCAACGCCGCGUGAAGGAUGACGGUUUUCGGAUUGUAAACUUCUUUUCUUAGUGACGAAGACAGUGACGGUAGCUAUGGAAUAAGCAUCGGCUAACUACGUGCCAGCAGCCGCGGUAAUACGUAGGAUGCAAGCGUUAUCCGGAUUUACUGGGUGUAAAGGGAGCGCAGGCGGGACUGCAAGUUGGAUGUGAAAUACCGUGGCUUAACCACGGAACUGCAUCCAAAACUGUAGUUCUUGAGUGAAGUAGAGGCAAGCGGAAUUCCGAGUGUAGCGGUGAAAUGCGUAGAUAUUCGGAGGAACACCAGUGGCGAAGGCGGCUUGCUGGGCUUUAACUGACGCUGAGGCUCGAAAGUGUGGGGAGCAAACAGGAUUAGAUACCCUGGUAGUCCACACUGUAAACGAUGAUAGCUAGGUGUGGGGGGUCUGACCCCUUCCGUGCCGGAGUUAACGCAAUAAGCUAUC